GGCCCAGAUCGUUUACCGUGAAAAAAUUAGAGUGUUCAAAGCAGGCAGAUCCAAUUCUCUGCCACCGAAUACAUUAGCAUGGGAUAAUGGAAUAGGACCCUGUCCUCCUAUUUUCAGUUGGUUUUGGCAGCGCGAGGACUAGGGUAAUGAUUAAUAGGGAUAGUUGGGGGCAUUAAUAUUUAAUUGUCAGAGGUGAAAUUCUUGGAUUUAUGAAAGAUUAACUUCUGCGAAAGCAUCUGCCAAGGAUGUUUUCAUUAAUCAAGAACGAAAGUUAGGGGAUCGAAGACGAUCAGAUACCGUCGUAGUCUUAACCAUAAACGAUGCCGACCAGCGAUUAGGAGACGUUGAAUACAAAACACCACCAUCGGUGCGGCUGUUCUUGGCGUCGGUUUCGGCCGGCGCGGGGAUGGCUUAGCCCGGUGGCACCGGUGAAUGACUCCCUAGCAGCUUGUGAGAAAAAUUCUUGGAUUUAUGAAAGAUUAACUUCUGCGAAAGCGUUUGCCAAGGAUGUUUUCAUUAAUCAAGAACGAAAGUUAGGGGAUCGAAGACGAUCAGAUACCGUCGUAGUCUUAACCAUAAACGAUGCCGACCAGCGAUUAGGAGACGUUGAAUACAAAACACCGCCGUUAAUCCUUUUCAACGGGGGUUAACGGUUGGUGAAUGACUCCCUAGCAGCUUGUGAGAAAUUUAAUUGUCAGAGGUGAAAUUCUUGGAUUUAUGAAAGAUUAACUUCUGCGAAAGCAUCUGCCAAGGAUGUUUUCAUUAAUCAAGAACGAAAGUUAGGGGAUCGAAGACGAUCAGAUACCGUCGUAGUCUUAACCAUAAACGAUGCCGACCAGCGAUUAGGAGACGUUGAAUACAAAACACCACCAUCGGUUGCGGUCGUCCUUGGCGUCUCGGUUUCGGCCGGGGCGCGGGGAUGGCUUAGCCCGGUGGCACCGGUGAAUGACUCCCUAGCAGCUUGUGAGAA
rnacentral:rRNA from 1 species